rnacentral:lncRNA from 1 species
CUUCUCUAAGCCUCAAAUCCAAAGCCUAAACAAGUUGAAACCUAUCACAAAAUACUUCCUAAUUUAUUAUCAAAAUUGUCAUUUUGACAGUUUUUAUCACUUAGUAAAUAAUAUCGAAAAAUUAUAAAAUUUGAUUUCUAAGUAGUUCUAAUAACGUAGAUCAUAACUAACGAAACCGAUUGUCGAAUCGGAUGUCUAUCAUUAAAAAUAACUUGAAAACAUGGAAAGUAUCUAUAAAAUUGCAACGUUUAAGGGAGGUAUUGAAGAAAUUAACCCAAAAGAAUUUAAAUAUUAAUCCGGUUAUGUACUUUAAUACGAAUUAUUAUUUAAACGGGUAAAUUUCAAUUUGUCCCCAUGUGGUUUAACUUAAUUUUACUUUACUAUUCUAGAAUUUAUAAA